rnacentral:rRNA from 1 species
GAUGAACGCUGGCGGCGUGCCUAAUACAUGCAAGUCGAGCGAACGGACGAGAAGCUUGCUUCUCUGAUGUUAGCGGCGGACGGGUGAGUAACACGUGGAUAACCUACCUAUAAGACUGGGAUAACUUCGGGAAACCGGAGCUAAUACCGGAUAAUAUUUUGAACCGCAUGGUUCAAAAGUGAAAGACGGUCUUGCUGUCACUUAUAGAUGGAUCCGCGCUGCAUUAGCUAGUUGGUAAGGUAACGGCUUACCAAGGCAACGAUGCAUAGCCGACCUGAGAGGGUGAUCGGCCACACUGGAACUGAGACACGGUCCAGACUCCUACGGGAGGCAGCAGUAGGGAAUCUGCCGCAAUGGGCGAAAGCCUGACGGAGCAACGCCGCGUGAGUGAUGAAGGUCUGCGGAUCGUAAAACUCUGUUAUUAGGGAAGAACAUAUGUGUAAGUAACUGUGCACAUCUUGACGGUACCUAAUCAGAAAGCCACGGCUAACUACGG